rnacentral:lncRNA from 7 species
GUUGCCUAAAAGGGAUAAGUUUUAGUUAUGGGUUCUCUGCUGCAAAGCAAGUGGAAAGAUUAAAAAAUAACAAUAAAAGGGGAAGAAAGCAUCUAUAAGGAGCUGAGAAUUGGAAUGUAGUGGAUCAACUGAAGUUGCUUUGAAGAAAUGAUUUCAAUGUGGAAGGAAGUUGUUCACUGCAGCUGUGGAGCUGCCUGUAUGGCUUCCAGGAAUGCUGUGUGCUGGAAGGAAGAGUCUCUAGAGUCUCCGAAUGAGGUGUAGCUCAUCAAUAUCUUAAGGUUUUUCAGAACGUGACUGAGGAGCGGUAGGUGGAGGAGGCUCCGAACUCACAGCGUGCAGCUCGUGGGUCUCAGGUUAAUUUAGGUCAGCUGAGAUGCAGUGCUGGACAAAGAAUGCUGUUGUUCUGUCCAGAGUUAACCCAGCAACGGGAGCUUUCUCUUCACGAGAUCAUUAAGGUUGGAUGGAUCUCUAAGAUCACCUGGUCCAACCGUCAACCCAUCACCGCCGUUUUUGGAGUGAAGAUUAAAUGGUGCCAGCAGCUGUGUGCAAGUUGUCCUUCAUCCAGGAACAUGCAAACACCAGAACUGCAGUGCAAAAUAUCCUGAAGUUCAGCAAGGUUUGGCUGAAGUCUGAUGUAGACCUUGUGGUCACCCUUGUCUUCAGCUACUACUGAGCCCCUGGUCCUUCACCUCCAUUGGUUUUGGGAGAUAUGGAUCUGGGCUACUAGUUCUCCUCCAGGGCAGGUGAAGGCAAUGAGGGAGAGCAAGAGAAUACUGAAAGGCCGACUCCUAAACAAACAUCUCCGGACCUUGGCUCUGGUGCUCUGAGGCAGAGAUGGAUCGAGUUGUGGCAGCUUCUGUCACCCAUCAAGGUAUCUGCUCUGCCAGAAGUCAUUGGCCUAUAUGUGUGGGCAAAGUGAAUACACAGCAGAACAGCUGGGAACCCGUCUUCAAGCAGUGCUUUGAGCUAAAACACUUGUGUGACUCAGAGGCGGUUUUUUUUGGUGGGAUAUGAAUGAACCAGAGCUCAAAAUCUUGGCUUGAAUUGAGGGCAGAGGUAGAAGAUGCCUCAUUUAGCCUGAGGAAUGCUUUUGACAGACACGUUGCUGCCACAUGGCUUGGCUGGGAAAAGAAGUUGUACCUCUCUAGAGAGUGGAAAGAUUGCACCAAAAUCCUGCUGUAGGAACACCAGGUUGUCUCUUGACUGCUUGUAGUCCAGCAAGGAGGAAGAAACUGAUAGCUCAUCCAAACUUGCUAAUGGAAAAAAUCACACUUAAAU